rnacentral:rRNA from 1 species
GGAUUAGAUACCCUGGUAGUCCACGCCGUAAACGAUGAGUACUAGUUAUUAGAGGUAUUGACCCCUUUAGUGACGCAGCUAACGCAUUAAGUACUCCGCCUGGGAAGUACGGUCGCAAGACUAAAACUCAAAGGAAUUGACGGGGGCCCGCACAAGCGGUGGAUUAUGUGGUUUAAUUCGAAGCAACGCGCAGAACCUUACCUAGGCUUGAAAUCCUCAGAAUUCCGAGUAAUGUUGGAAGUGCCCGCAAGGGAAUUGAGUGACAGGUGCUGCAUGGCUGUCGUCAGCUCGUGUUG